UACGAAGGGGGCUAGCGUUGCUCGGAAUCACUGGGCGUAAAGGGUGCGUAGGCGGGUCUUAAGUCAGGGGUGAAAUCCUGGAGCUCAACUCCAGAACUGCCCUUGAUACUGAGGAUCUUGAGUUCGGGAGAGGUGAGUGGAACUGCGAGUGUAGAGGUGAAAUUCGUAGAUAUUCGCAAGAACACCAGUGGCGAAGGCGGCUCACUGGCCCGAUACUGACGCUGAGGCACGAAAGCGUGGGGAGCAAACAGG
rnacentral:rRNA from 1 species